rnacentral:rRNA from 1 species
UAGUGAAAUCGAGUAGGACGGGACACGUGAUAUCCUGUUUGAACAUGGGGGGACCAUCCUCCAAGGCUAAAUACUCCUGACUGACCGAUAGUGAACCAGUACCGUGAGGGAAAGGCGAAAAGAACCCCUGUGAGGGGAGUGAAAUAGAACCUGAAACCGUGUACGUACAAGCAGUAGGAGCCCACUUGUUGGGUGACUGCGUACCUUUUGUAUAAUGGGUCAGCGACUUAAUUUUAGUAGCAAGGUUAACCGUUUAGGGGAGCCGUAGGGAAACCGAGUCUUAACUGGGCGUCAUAGUUGCUAGGAUUAGACCCGAAACCGAGUGAUCUAGCCAUGGGCAGGUUGAAGGUGAGGUAACACUUACUGGAGGACCGAACCGACUAAUGUUGAAAAAUUAGCGGAUGACUUGUGGCUAGGGGUGAAAGGCCAAUCAAACUCGGAGAUAGCUGGUUCUCCCCGAAAGCUAUUUAGGUAGCGCCUCGGACGAAUACUACUGGGGG